AGGACUUUUACUACUCACACUUGUUUCUUCAACUAAUUGGGGGGCUGGGGAUUUAGCUCAGUGGUAGAGAGAGGGCUUACCUAGGAAGCACAAGGCCCUGGGUUCGGUCCCCAGCUCCGAAAAAAAGAACCAAAAAAAAAAAAAAAACACCUAAUUGGGGGUAUUUCCUAUUUUCUAGUCUUACUAAGACUAGAUGUAGAGCGGAUGUAGGUGAGGAAGGGUCUAGUUUAGAGGUAAAGGAUUUGUCAGACAUCUAUGGUGCCAUGGGUUCAAGCCCCAGCACUGAAAAGGGAAGGGGGGAAAUGGAGUGAGUAAGCAUGAACACGUGACAAAAUUCCAGCCGUUCAUCGAGUGUGGAUAGCUGACAGGCUUUGAGUCCUUAGCUCAGGCAAUGAGCAUAGAGUGAGUUCUCUGUGCACUCAACCCUGUGGCAAAUUGUCAUCAAACCCUGUCAUGUUGUGAUGCUGAGAAAGCCCGUGUGAAUUUUAGAACCUGCUUUCUCUUUUGUGAAAAUGAACAUAUUGUUGCUUGGGGAUAGGGCUCACUGAGCAAAGUGCUUGCCACACACUGAUCUGAACCUGAGUUCAGAUCUCCAGCCAUGAAAAAGCUGGGAGCACAGGUACAUUGGUAACCCCAGCUCUGGGGGCAGAGACAGGAGGAUUCCUGGAGCUCAGUGGCUAGCCAGGCUAGCUGAAUCAGUGAGGUGCAGGUCAGGAGAGACCCUGUCUCACAAUUUAAGGUGGAGAGUGACUGAGGAAGACAAUGGACAUCAACCUCUCACCUCCACAUGCAUGUGCACACACAUUCUAACAGACAGACCACAUUGUCUUGGUUAGGGUUUUACUGCUGUGAACAGACACCAUGACCAGGACAAUUCUCAUAAGGACAACGUUUAAUUGGUGCUGGCUUAAAGAUUCAGAGGUUCAGUCCAUUAUCAUCAAUGUGGAAACAUGGCAGUGUCCAUGCAGGCAUGGUGCAGACAGAGCUGAGAGUUCUAAAACCUCAUCUGAAGGCUGCUAGUGAAGACUGACUUCCAUACAACUAGGGUAAGUGUUAAGGUCACACCCACAGUGACAGACCUACUCCAACAAGGCCAUACCUACUCCAACAAGGCUAUGCCUCCUAACAAUGCCACUCCCUGGCCCAAGCAUAUACAAACCAUCACACACAUAGACAAAAUAUGUACACACACCCUCACAAGCCUCAAAACUACUCAGUGUAAGCCUUCUCUUCAGAUUGCUGAAAGUGGAUUAACACUGGUAAGGAGCUUGGAAACAGUGACUGACCUCAUCACCGUGUGCCUCACUGCCCUGACUUCUGUUCUCCCAGCUAAUCCUCAUACCACUCUGUCUCAGAGAAAACAAAGGUUAGAUUGAGGAUGAUCUCCACCUGUUUUUCCUAAAGCAUGGGCUGCUUUCUGUUCUGUGUUCUUGUGAAGUAUCCAGUGUCCGAUAAGGUGCUUAACACAGCUAAGAACUACAGCAACUUUGCAAAUGUUACCUCUGUCAGCCCUUUACCAAAAGAAAAGGAAAUUAGGUUCAUGAGAGUCUCUCAGAGUGAUCUGGAUUGGUAUGUUUUUCUUCCUAUAGUUCUGCUUUCCAAAGCUGAGGUGAUUUUAAGAAGUGGUUCACGUCCAUCCCUAAGAACUGUACCUACCUGUAGCAGCUGUGGGACAUCCUGCAGACAGGUGUGAAGCUAGACAAGAACAGAGAUUGUAACAGGAAUUUAGAAGCUGCUUUUUUAUUUUUCUAAAAAAUCAUCUAUUCCUCUCUUGGACCUCAAGAAAACUAAAUGCAGGACACAAAAGCCUGACAUCUCUGCCUCCAUUUUGUGUCUGUCUCCUGAGAGACAUCAGCAUGUGAACCAUUCACAGAUCUGUCUAACCCACCUCACCCCCUGCAAGGCUAAAGACACGGGCACGUGCAUUGUCUUAAACCUAUCACCAAAUUUAGUCCUCUUGGGUUCUAGGAACACCAAAGCCUGAUGGGACAGGGCACCCCCAACACACACACACAGCUAAGAGUGAUUUCCACAAAGGUGAGGUGAGGCUGCAUCCAAGGGCAGAAGUAAACAUCUCCUCCAUACAUCUUGGGAUCCACACCCAUGAUCCCAGCACUUAGACAGUUGAGGCAAGAGAACUGCCAGGAGUUUGAGGCCAUCUUGAGUUGCUUGAGUUGUAGGCCAGCCUGGGGUAUAGAGUGAGUUCUGUCUUAAUAAGCCCCAAUAAAUGAGAUCAUAUCAGUAAGUAUCAGUGUGUUGCCAAGCAGGGGCUGUGCUGGCCCACACCUUUGAUCCCAGCACUUGGGAGGCAGAGGCAGGGGGAUCGCUGAGUUUGAGGCCAGCCUGGUCUACAAGGCAAUUCUAGAACAGCCAGGGCUACAUCCUGUGUAGCUAGAGAAACCCUAUCUUAAACAACAAAACAAAAUAGAACAAAAACACUGUGUCCACUCGAGCAACUAAGACUUUUUAAAAAAUUAAUAUUUAUUUUAUAUGCACAAAAGUUUUGCCAGUGUGUGUGUGUGUGUGUGUGUGUGUGUGUGUGUGUGUGUGCGCGCGCGCGCGCGCGCGCGCGCCUGGUGCCUACCAAGGCCAGAAAAGAGCAUCAGAUUCCUGAACUGGUGUUGCUUAUGUUUGAGCCACAAUGUGAGUGCUGGUCACUAAAGCCAGGUCCUCUGCAAAAGCGACAAACGCCUUUUACUGCUGAGCCACCUCUCUAGCCCCAAAGACUUUUUCAGACCACUCUACAGAUCUAGAACUAAGACAAAGAUCAAGGAGACCACAUUGUGAACAGAUUUGCUUAUUAUGCCCUAAUUCUUUUAUUUAAACCUAAAGCCCAUGUCAGUCCCCAGAGCCAACCGGUUCCUUUUCCCACUGUAGUAAAUAACCCUGCCUUUCCACAGCCAUUAGUCUAAUUGUCUCACUGGGAUGGGUUGCCAAGGCUAGCCUGCUGGAGUUGCCAGAGUUGGGAAAUUUUCCCUUAAAAUUCUGAUUACAAGGCUUCUUAGCUGGGUGGCCCUCUUCAAGAGGCUUAGGGAAGACUCGUGUGUUAGCUCCUCCCUGCAAGGACCUUGUCUGGGGACUCGGCCUUGUACUUGGUAGAAAGAUGCACUGUAAUGCAUUUUGCUAGAUAAGUAGGUCCUCUUCCCUUCUACCCACCCUCUGUGAAGUGGCCAGACUGCAUCCUUGAGCUGCUGACUUUAGAAACCCAAAGAGAACUGGAGUGAGUCCAAACUGAAAUUGUGCACACAUCCCCUCUGCAGAAAAAGCAAGGGCUCCCUCCUCUGCUGCAGCAGGCCUUAAGGCUGCAGGCAAAUAGGAAACCAUCUCCUCCUGCUUAGCAACUAUUAUUCUAAAGAAUUCACUCUUUUUAAAUCUGGGCAUUAUCUGCAGAGGAAAAUCCCAGAAAUGAUCUAAAGAGUCCGAGGAUGAGUUAUUACAGAGUGCAGUGGCCAAGUGAAUCACUCCAGGUUCCGUAGGUCAGAGUGAUGUAGGUGUCUGGAACGAAUACAGCACAAAGAAAUCUAAGCACAGAAGAAACAAGCACAAGCCCCAGGCCACUUCUGUCUACAGCAUCCAGCAGAUCUAGCUCAAAUAUGCCCAAUGCAUUCGGGGGCAUCACUCCUUCCUCAACUCCACUAGCCCAUGGGAGACCAGAUGCUCAGUACUGCAGCAGUUUCCAAACAGCCAAACAACACGUUCAUUCCCUUUCUCUGUGACUAAAAUACAGCAUCUCAGAAUUCACCACUGGCUCAUUCCCAGGCAUCCUGAGUGGAAGAGCCAGGCAUCUCCAACCAGAGGAAAAGGACUGAGCCUUUACCUAGGGAGACUGCCCAUCUGACAGGCAUCCUGUCCUCAGAGGUUACUGAGCUACCUAAAGAUCCAUUUCUAAAAAUCCUAGUAAUGUGCACGGGACCAGAAGCUGUGGCCUGGAGCAGGCACUGGCUAGAAGGGAAGGAAAUCUAAUGCUGAGCUCUCAAGAGCUUUGAGUGAAUCACCAGCUGCCAACUCCCCACAAAAGGGAGAAUCCCACCUUACAGACCAGAAGACAAAUUGUGUGACGUUGUAAUAGCUUACCAAGGAAAACGACUCACAGGGGCCUCAGAGUGAUGUAGAAGGCUGGGUACAACAUGGGCUCUCUGCUUUAACCUUAUAAAGGUUGUCUUAAGGAGGAAGAAGCAGAUGUUUUCAACCUGGAGCUAGAUGUGUGCUCCAUUUGGUUUCAUUAUAUGUGGCCCUAAGAGAGUCCAUUUCUCCUUGGCCCUCACUGCAGACCCCAGUGAAGCUUGUGACUGUUUCGUAGCCUUGAGGAUCUAUCGGUCAGACUACCUCCUGUCCCUCUCACCAGACAGAACAUUAAGAGCCAUUUCCAUUUCUCAGAGCAGAGUAACAGAAGCCUUUUGAUUCUAGGGGGAGGAUACAUCAUAAACUAGGUCAGUGCCACAAGUGCUCCAAAGUGACAGAAUCCAGUUGCUUCCUGCUUAAGAGAUAAGCCUGACUCACCCCUCAGCAGUGAUGGGAAGGAAGCCUCAGACUGGGAAAUGGGACCGAAUCCUGCUGCCACUCUGCCAGGAGAUGUCCUAUGGCCUUGCAUGCUCUCUAGGCCCUUAGCCUGCCAUUGCUAAGAGUCAUGUGGGCUGGCUGGCUGGCUCCUCAGUAUUUCAGCUGCACUGUGUCGUCAGAUAACGAGAUCCCAAGUCCUGCUUCCACACCCUGGAACUCAGCAAUGAGCAGGUCUACACCCAGGACAUCACUCUUCACUUGAGAAGUUCUGCCUGUGCUCAUGGCAGAGUUCACGUGGGGAAUCCUGACCUGCUGAGCACGGUAUUUGAAUUCGCUACCUGAAGGGAGGGAAUCUGAAGGUCAUGGCUUAUGUUACAAGUCUGUGAUGGAGGCCGGCUCCUGUGGUACACAUGACAACAUCCCUGACACCUCAGAGGCCUCAGAGUAAAUGGUCACCCCACCGCCAGGCUGCACACCUCUCUUGAUAGCAGCUAGGCUGGAAUACACAUUUCUCUGUUGUUCCAGAAGUUAAGCGGUACACACUUCCUUAUCCUCAUUUUGAGCAUGCACAGGCCACCAGGGGGCCUCUUCCGACACCGGCACCUACCUCCCUCACUGACAAUCUGACUCCUUCUGGAAGAUUGAUUUGGAGUAUUUCCAGGAAAAUCUCAGCAAAUGUAGCGCUCAGACCGCUGAUCUGCAAAUGAAGAGAGCUGUCUAAGAGAGUGUGCUGAAGGCUGUAACUGGCAAGCAGGGCUUGGCCUUCCUUGCAACUCCAGUGGGAAAGGGGCUGACACUCAGCUGGCUUCUGAGCUCAGUCCCCACAGGGUGUGUCUGGCUGUUUGUAAAGGUGUCUGUUUGCUGAGACAGGCAUGGCCAAUGUUUCUGUAGGCAGCAGAUGUCACAAUCAGACCAAUACUGAUUUUCUGAUGCAAUUCAGGUUUGCCACCCUGGCCAGGUGCUGCUGUGUUAGAGGACUUUUAUUCACCUGAUGUAAUUAUUGUCUCCAACUUACUGCCUCAGUCGGCUAACUAACCUAGGCCUAGUCCUGGAAGCUCCUUCUCAUUUUCUGGCUUGUUCUCUCUGCAACCUGUCUCUGAAAAAACCGUCCCAGUAAAACUCCCUCCAUCCUUUUCCCCUCUCUGCACUUCUCUAUAAGCAGCCUCCCUUUCCUCUCUCCUUGUGAGAGUUGGGCAGAUCCUAUUCUGUCAAAUCUUUCUCUGAUUCGUCACUUUGUCUGCCACUCAAAUAGACAUCACUUUCAAACAUGGUGUUUCCUUUUCUACAAACUAACUUUACCUUUACUGUUUGGGAUUAAAGGUGUGUGUUAAGAAUGUGUCUGAAUUCCUGCCAGAGGGAUUAAAGGUGUGUGCUAAGGGCUGAACCACACUACCAGAACCAUUUUUCUUUUAGUAAAUCUCUGGGUUCACCGUGUGAUCAAAUAUCCUGCAACACUGGUGUCGGCUUUGUCUUGAGAAUCCGGAGGUGAGUCAGGUGUGUGGUGGAAAGGCACGCAGAGCACUGUGAGGACCCACAAGAGAAAUAACCACUUAUGAAUGGGGAAUGCCUGGGUGAAGUCUUGAAGGAAAGGGGGAUUAAAUGGGAGAAUCAGACAGAGCACAGACAGUUUUCAGGGCUGAGCGAGCAGCAGUCAGUAAAAUGUGAAUCACAUAACUGCAUUAGAAAGUCCAGACAAAUUCUGCAGCUGGAAUGAAAGGGACAUCAAGGAACAGCAGGAGGGGACGCACAGUGACAUGAGAGCUACUACCUGGGUGGGAUGCAUUAUAAGAAAACUGAUAGGUAAAGAUUUAAAAUUUCAGAGUACUUCAGUCUUUUUAAAAUUAGCAUAUUUAGAUUUAGAUGUUCCUCUGUCUACACUCUUACUACCUUGCUGAGAAGAUUCUUCAGUGGACUAAAAAGGGGAAUACAAUGGAAGUGUAAAUAAAAUUCCACACAAUGGAAUAUUACUUGGCCAUAAAAAUGAAUGAGGUGCCAAUCAUGCUACAAUAUGAAUGAACCUUGAAAACACACCAAGAGAAGCCAGAUGCAAAAGGCAUUUUAAUGUGGAACUUCUGGUUUAUUUAUGUAAGAUAGCCUAGGCUAGCCUCAAAGUCACAACAAUCCUCCUGCUUCGGCCUCCUAACUACUCAGAUUACAAGCAUGUGCUAUCAUACCAUGCUUUAUUAGAAGGCAACAAAUUGUAUAAUUCUGCUAAUACCAAAUACAAUAAAUCCAGAGAAAGAAAGUAGAUCCAUGGUUGCCAGGGGCUUAGAAAGAGGAGCAAUUACUGACUGACACAGGGCCUAUCUCUGAGGUAAUGAAAAUGUUCUCUAACUGACUAGUAAUGGUUGUAUAACUGAAUAUACAAAAACCCAUUGAGUGUAUACUUUUAACGAGUAAACUGCAAGGCAUGUGACUCCAGCAGUGAAGUUAAAAGACAGCAGGUGAUGUCAGAGCUGCUGGGCUCCUAACAACUCUGGGCACCUCUGUCAUGAUGUGGCUUGACCUUCCUAUCUCUGCAGAGAAGAAAAGGAAGACAUUACAGCUAAAGAAAGCAAGAAAAGCAAAUGGGAUGAGUAUGAAAUGAAAAAUAUGGGUCUUAAAGACUUUUACUUGGCAGAAGGUAAGGAAUCUGGUUAAUGAACGAAGACAAAGAAGGAUCAAGUACUAGGCUCAAAGGAUUACAGAUAGAGGGAAGCUGUUCCCUGAGAAAUCAGUUUUCCCUGCAGAGAGGUUAGGGUGUACAUUGUGGAGCAGCCAACAAAGACAUUACACAACUGGAUCUGUGUGUGUGUUACUGCUGUACAAGGGAGCUUGGGGAAUGGAUGUGAUUUCUCUUUUCUAAGAUUUAUUUAUUUAAUGUAUGUGAGUACACUGUUUCAGACUCACCAGAGGAGGGCAUCAGAUCCCAUUACAGAUGGUUAUGAGCCACCAUGUAGUUGCUGGGAAUUGAUCUCAGGACCUCUGGAAGAGCAGUCAGUGCUCUUAACUGCUGAGCCAUCUCUCCAGUCUUGGAUGUGAUUUCAUAACAGGAGAGUUAGAGGAGUCAAGAGCCCAGCUCUAGAGUGUAGACA